AACGAACGCUAGCGGCGUGCCUAACACAUGCAAGUCGAACGAGAAAUCCUGAGCAAUCGGGAGAGUAAAGUGGCGCACGGGUGAGUAACGCGUGGGUAAUCUACCCUGGAGUUAGGGAUAACACUUCGAAAGGAGUGCUAAUACCUAAUAAGAUCCUGAAAACCAUGGUUUUUGGGAUUAAAGAUGGCUGAGGCUUGCAAGCUAUUGCUCCAAGAUGAGCCCGCGUACCAUUAGCUAGUUGGUAGGGUAAUGGCCUACCAAGGCAACGAUGGUUAGCUGGUCUGAGAGGAUGGCCAGCCACACUGGAACUGAGAUACGGUCCAGACUCCUACGGGAGGCAG
rnacentral:rRNA from 1 species